rnacentral:lncRNA from 1 species
GUGGGGGCUGCUAUAGGGCACAGUGGCUAUGGGGCAGAGCUGCUAUGGGGUCAGGUUGCUAUGGGGUGGGGGCUGCUAUGGGGCAGAGUGGCUAUGGGGCAGAGCUGCUAUGGGGUUGGGGCUUCUAUAGGGUGGAGUGGCUAUAGGGUCAGGUUGCUAUGGGGUCAGGUUGCUAUGGGGUUGGGGCUGCUAUAGGGCAGAGUGGCUAUAGGGUCAGGCUGCUAUGGGGUUGGGGCUGCUAUGGGGUCGGGCUGCUAUGGGGUGGGGGCUGCUAUAGGGCAGAGCUGCUAUGGGGUAGAGCUCUUAUGGGGUCAGGCUGCUAUGGGGUCAGGUUGCUAUGGGGUUGGGGGCUGCUAUAGGGCACAGUGGCUAUGGGGCAGAGCUGCUAUGGGGUUGGGUCUGCUAUGGGGUGGGGGCUGCUAUAGGGCAGAGCUGCUAUGGGGUAGAGUGGCUAUGGGGCAGAGCUGCUAUGGGGUCGGGUUGCUAUGGGGUGAGGGAUGCUAUGGGGUAGAAUGAUUAUGGGGUCAGGUUGCUAUGGGGUGGGGGCUGCUAUAGGGCACAGUGGCUAUNGCUAUGGGGUAGAAUGAUUAUGGGGUCAGGUUGCUAUGGGGUGGGGGCUGCUAUAGGGCACAGUGGCUAUAGGGUCAGGCUGCGAUGGGGUUGGGGCUGCUAUAGGGCAGAGCUGUUAUGGGGUAGAGUGGUUAUGGGGCAGAGCUGCUAUGGGGUUGGGGUUGCUAUAGGGCAGAGUGGCUAUAGGGUCAGGUUGCUAUGGGGUUGGGGCUGCUAUGGGGUGGGGGCUGCUAUGGGGUAGAGUUACUAUGGAGAACGGUUGUUAUGGGGUGGGAGAAGCUAUGGGGCGGGGGCUGCUAUGGGGCAGUGAUGUGGCACUGAGGUCGGGUUAUGGGGUUGGGUUGGUGUGUGGGGUUGGGAUUAGGAUUGGGAUUAGGAUUGGGAUUGGGGUCAGGAUUAGGGUCAGGAUUGGGAUUGGGAUUAGGAUUGGGAUUGGGGUCAGGAUUAGGAAUGGGAUUGGGAUCCGGGAUUGGUAUUGGGAUUAGGAUUGGGAUUGGGAUUGGGGUCAGGAUCAGGAUUGGGAUUGGAUUAGGAUUGGGAUCCUGCAUUAGGAUUGGGAUCAGGAUUUGGGAUUGGGGUCAGGAUUGGGAUUGGAUUAGGAUUGGGAUUAGGAUUGGGGUCAGGAUUAGGAUUGGGAUUAGGAUUUGGAUUAGGAUUGGGAUUAGGAUUUGGAUUGGGAUUGGAUUCGGAUUGGGAUUGGGAUUAGGAUUGGGAUUGGGAUUGGGAUUAGGAUUGGGAUUGGGAUUGGGAUUGGGAUUAGGAUUGGGAUUGGGAUUGGGAUUGGGAUUAGGAUUGGGAUUAGGAUUGGGAUUGGGAUUGGGAUUGGGAUUGGGAUUGGGAUUGGGAUUAGGAUUGGGAUUGGGAUUNGGAUUGGGAUUGGGAUUAGGAUUGGGAUUGGGAUUAGGAUUAGGAUUGGGAUUAGGAUUGGGAUUAGGAUUGGGAUUGGGAUUAGGAUUGGGAUUGGGAUUGGGAUGGGAUUGGGAUUGGGAUUGGGAUUGGGCAUUUCCCCUAAUUAACCCCCCCCUAAUUAAGCCCCUAUAACCCCCCAACCCCAUUAAACCCCCCCCCCACAUUUAGGGUGGGUUUAUGGGGUUUGGAUGGGGGGGUUUGGGGUGGGGGGGGUCCUUUUAGGGGGCACUUUUGGGGUCCCCAUUGAGACCCCCCCCCCCAAAUAAGCUCAAUAAAGGAUUAAUGGGACACGGCA